CCUCCCGCUUUUCCUCCCUGAGCGGGUGCCUGAUGUGUGACAGCAAAAAGGCUUCUUGUACCCCGGUCCUGUAGACCGGGGUUUUUUUU
rnacentral:ncRNA from 1 species